UUCGUGGAACCCAGUCAGACGACG
rnacentral:piRNA from 1 species